UAAUAAAAUAAUGUAUUUAAAUUGCACAAUUUGAUAAGUUUUGACAUAUGUAUACAAGCAUGAAACAAUCAUCAUAGUCAAGAUAGUGAACAU